AAAAAUUGUAUUUUAUUUAUUACAGAGACGAGAAGUCUUGCCAUGUUGCCCGGGCUGGUCUCCAACUCUUGGGCUCAAGACAUCCUCCUGCUUCGGGCUCCCUCAGUGCUGAGAUUUCAGCACACAGAGGAAAGGCCAUGUGAGGACACAGCAAGAAGGCGGCCGUCUGCAAGCCGAGAAGAGAGUCCUCACCAGGAACCAACUCUGCUGACACCUUGCUGUUGGAGUUCCAGCCUCUAUAAAUGUUCACAAGCACACCACUGUUUACACCCAUCUAGAAGGCCCCUCCCAGCUGACAUCUUUCUGCCUACCUUUCAGGAAGACAGACGAAACUCUCUGCCUUCAGGUGGGGCAAGACUGCUGAUGGCUGGAACAGAAACUUGGCACCUCCACCCUGACCCAGACACAAGCCUGUCUGUCCCACUUAAAUCGAGCUGGCCAGAGACUACAACUGUGUUGGUUCCCAAGACAUAGAAAAGCCAGAAGAGGUCGGGCGCAGUGGCUCACACCUGUCAGCACUUUGGGAAGCCGAGGCAGGCAGAUUACCUAAGGUCAAGAGUUCAAGACCAACCUGGCCAAUGUGGUGAAACCCCAUCUCUACCACAAAUACAAAAAUUAGCUGGGUGUGGUGGUGCACCUAUAGGCCCAGCUACUCGGGCAGCUGAGGCAGGAGAAUCGCUGGAAUCCAGGAGGCAGAGGUUGCAGUGAGCCGAUAUCAUGCCACUGCACUCCAGCCUGGGCGACAAGAGCUAAACUCCACCUCAAAAAACAACAACAACAACAACAAAACAAACAAACAGAAGACAAGCCAGAAGAGAUGGGGAGGAACUGGAGUGUGAUCUCCCAUUCCAUUAACCCAGAUCUGGGACUACCAGGUGGAACAUUCCAAACAUAUCAUUUUUUAUUUUCUCUCUCCCUCUCAAGGCACAUCUUCCAAUACUUGCAGUCAUUAGCAGAAUGAGGCAGGUCUGGAUGUGCUGAUUUGGGGAAGGUGUCCACAGUAUAUAAUUAACUGGAAAAAGCUAUCAUGGAACCGUGUGCCUGCAACGAUCCCUAUUUGUGAA